UACGUAGGGUGCGAGCGUUGUCCGGAAUUAUUGGGCGUAAAGGGCUCGUAGGCGGUUUGUCGCGUCGGGAGUGAAAUCCACUGGCUUAACUGGUGGCUUGCUUUCGAUACGGGCAGACUGGAGGUAUGCAGGGGAGAACGGAAUUCCUGGUGUAGCGGUGAAAUGCGCAGAUAUCAGGAGGAACACCGGUGGCGAAGGCGGUUGCCUGGAGCUUUGCUGACGCUGAGGCGCGAAAGCGUGGGAGCGAUCCGG
rnacentral:rRNA from 1 species